UGAGCUACCCUCAAAAUACCAAUACCACGAUGACAAUACCAUAUCAGUAAUAAUCAAUCAAUCAUCAUGCAUACUAGGCCACCGACCGGACUGGACCGCCCUAACGGGCCUACAGUCUGUCUAAAUCUAUCCUGAGCCUUCGGCAUGACUGGUCCGCCACGUGCGCCUACAGUCUCCCCGGACCGCUCACAGGGUAUGUUGGCCUUCCGCACAAAGCAGGACCACCUCAAUCCAACCAACAAGCAAAUAACCAUGUGCGCAUAGCUAUCAUUUACGGUCAUAUACAAACAUCAAGCAUGUCUAUCUCACUGGUCAUAAUCAUAGAAUUCUCCUGUAACUAGAGUACCGACCUAUCAGGUCACUAACACACCAAUCCCUACGGAUCAUAAAAGCAUAACAUACUGUCUACCUCGAUUCCGAACUAACAAAUCAUAACCACAUGCAACAUACCAUAAUAAUAACAACUAAAGGGCAGGACUUGGUGCCGUAGACCCUAUCGAUAUAGUGAGGAUAACUCACCUCGCAGAUGUCGACACGAAAGGUAAACUCCAACUCUCGGAUCACUUGACACAUGUUCCACCACCUAUCAUCAUAGUACAUCAUACUCAUAAGUCCUUAACCUUACAAGGUACUCCAUAAACCACUAGUCAACCCCUGGUCAAAGUCAAAGUCCUCAAUCAAGGUCAACAGUCCAUGUUGACCUUAACUCGCCGAGUACCCUUGGCUACUAGCCGAGUUCCCUGAAGUACAUUCCAAAUCGCCGAGUCAUCGUAGUGACUCGUCGAAUUCAUUUGAUCCUCGAUCAAACUUAAGGUCACACGUCGAGUUCCCUCCUUGCAACUCGACCGAUACACAUGCAUACAUAAUCUAGGGAAAACUCAUCGGACUCGCUGAGUUGUUCUUUAACUCGUCGAGUCUUAUGGUGAUCUUCAUCGAACUCGCUGAGUUGUUCAUCCAACUCGUCGAGUUCACGACCAUCUUCAUAUGACUCGCCUAGUCACCUUGCGACAUGCCGAGUCCAUUCAUUUCUUUUUCCAUACAGACUUGAUUUGAGCCAUGCAGCGGCCCCAAAUCACAGAUCCAAGCUUCUAGGCAUACUUAUCACGUAAAGUUGCAAAAUUUACGUGCAUGCAUGGCUAUAAAGGCUCUAAAUGUCUGUUUUAAGUUCAUAAUGAAGCUUAAAGUCUAAGAGGGACCUCAAUCACAACCAAUACAACAACUUUAUGAUUCUAGCAUCCAAGGAGGGUCCAGAUCUGAAGUUACAACCUCAGAUCUAGCCCAUAGCUCAUCCUUUCAACUCAAUACUUCACCAAAAACCCUAAAACGCGACAAUGGAAGAGAUUCACAAGAAGAAAGGCGAUUUGGUUACCUCCAAAAGAUGAUGACUGAGAUAAGGGCUAAUUUCCACACUCCACUUUCCCCAAUACCCUUCUCCUCUUAGCCUCCUCUCUCCAAAAUCCUCUUUUCAAGCUUCAAUCACACAAUGGCACACACACAUGCACACAUAUUUGGGUUUUAAGGGCUCUUAAAGACUGCAAGGAUGCCAAAGGAGCUGAGGCUCCUUUAAAUAGGGGUACAAACCACGGGAUUUAGGGUUUCAUCUACCAGCUCCUACUCGCCGAGUCCCAAAGUGGACUCGUCGAGUAGGUCGACCGACUCAUCGAGUAGGGCUUCAUCCAAUAAUUCUUAUAUAAUUAAUACUUGAGAAUCGGGGCAUUACAACUCUCCCCCACUUGAACUAGACUUCACCCUCGAAGUCUGCUGGAAUAAACAAUGUCGGGUAAUGCUCACGCAUCUCCGCCUCCGGCUCCUAUGUCUACUCGGAUCCCUUUCAAUGUUCCCAUUGUACCUUUACCACAGGUAUUUCCUUGUUCCGCAGAAUCUUCUUCUUCCUUUCCAAAAUUGCCAUAGGCCUUUCCACAUAGUUUAGGCGCUCAUCGACCUGAAUGUUAUCUAACGAUACCACUGCCUUCUGGUCCAUAAUGCAUUUUCGCCGGAAGCUCUAGCCUAUAAGCCACCCUACCAACCCUAGUGAUAAUCCUGAACGACCUAAUGUAACGGGGACCCAAUUUUCCCCUCUUCCUGAAGCGGAUCACACCCUUCUAGGGUGAGAACUUCAGAAGAACCAUGACACCCACCUGAAAUUCCAGCUCAGAUCGCCGUCGGUCGGCAUAACUUUUCUACCGGCUCUGAGCGGUCUGCAGUCACUGUCUAAUCUGCUGUAUCAUUUCGGUAGUUUGUAGAACUACCUUUGUCCGACCCAUCACUCUGUGCCCAACCUCGCCCCAACAGAGUGGGGUCCUACACUUCCGCCCAUACAACAGCUCGAAAGGCGGGGCACUAAUACUGGAAUGAUAUAUGUUGUUGUAGGCGAACUCUGCAAGCGGUAGGUGGGAAUCCCAACUCCCACCAAAAUCAAUAACGCAUGCCCACAACAUAUCCUCGAGGGUCUGAAUGGUCUGCUCACUCUGCCCAUCAUUUUGCGGAUGGAACGCCGUACUAAAAUGCAGUCGUGUACCCAGUUCCUCAUGGAACUUCUGCCAAAAACGGGAAGUAAACCUGACAUCUCGAUCGGAAACGAUAGAAACUGGAACCCCAUGGCAAGAUACAAUCUCCCUAACGUAUAGGUCGGCCAACUUCUCUACCGACGAACUCUCCCGUAUGGCUAGGAAAUGGGCAUUCUUGGUCAAUUGAUCCACGAUGACCCAUAUAGCAUCGAACCCCCUUGUCGUCUUCGGCAACUUCGUGAUGAAAUCCAUCGUGAUCCGUUCCCAUUUCCACAUGGGAAUCUCCAGAGGCUGCAACUUACCAUGCGGCUUAUGGUGCUCGGCUUUGACCAUCCUACAGGUCAAGCACCUCUCAACGAGCCAAGCAAUAUCUCGCAUUCCAGGCCACCAAUAACUCGAACUCAAAUCACGGUACAUCUAGGUGGCUCCUGAGUGAAUCGAAAAACGAGACUUAUGAGCCUCCUCCAUCACUGUCUGUUGGACCCCUCCGAACAUCGGAACCCAAACCUGACCGUAAUGGGUCAACAAUCCACGGCUAUCCUGAACAAACCAGGCGCUUUCGCCCUUAAUCCUCUCCAACUUCCAAUUCUCUGGUCUCAUGCCCUCAAUAUGAGAAUCCCUGAUCAAACCCACCAGUGGUGAAUCCACCGCUAUCCUCAUACACCUGGCUAGGGUCGAGGACCCAACUGACUUGCGGCUCAGAGCAUCCGCAACCACAUUCGCUUUACCAGGAUGGUAAAGAAUCUCGCAAUCAUAGUCUUUGACCACAUCCAGCCACCUGCGCUGCCUCAUGUUCAGGUUCGGCUGAUCCAUAAUGUGUCUUAAACUCUCGUGAUCCGUGUAUAUAGUGCAACGGACCCCGUACAGAUAGUGCCUCCAAAUCUUGAGAGAAAAAACCACUGCUCCCAACUCAAGAUCGUGCGUGGGGUAUCUCGUCUCAUGUGGCUUCAGCUGCCGCGAUGCGUAGGCUACCACCCGUCCUCUCUACAUGAGGACUGCCCCCAAGCUAGUGAUGGAUGCAUCACAAAAUACCACAAAAUCCUCCACUCCCUCAGGAAGUGUCAACACUGGCGCCUCGCAUAAACACUGUCGGAGGGUCUCAAAUGCCCUCUUCUGCUCAGGGCCCUACCGGAAAUCCACCCCUUCCUCGUCAGACGAGUAAGGGGUACGGUAAUCUUGGAGAAAUCACAAAUGAGUCUUUGAUAAUACCCUGCUAAACCCAAGAACUCCUGAUAUCAGAGGGAGAUUUCGGGGUAUCCUACUGCAUAACCGCCUCCACCUUGGCCGAAUCGACCAGAAUCCCCUCCUGGUUAACGAGGUGUCCAAGGAACUGGACCUCCCGUAACCAAAACUCGCAUUUCGAGAACUUGGCAUACAACCGUUCUCGUCGUAGAACUUCCAGUAGCUCCCUGAGAUGUUCCUCAUGCUGCUCUCGAGUCUUGGAGUACACCAAGAUAUCAUCUAUAAACACAAUAACCGAGCGAUCAAGCAUCGGCCUGCAUACUCGGUUCAUCAGAUCCAUGAACACUGCUAGUGCGUUGAUGAGUCCAAACAGCAUCACCACAAACUCGUAAUGACCAUAAUGAGUCCGAAACGCGGUCUUCUCCACGUCUUGCUCCCUCACCCUAACCUGGUGAUACCAUGAUCUUAAAUCAAUCUUGGAAAACCAAGACGCACCCUGAAGCUGAUCGAAAAGAUAGUCUAUCCUCAGAAGCGGAUAAUGGUUCUUCACCGUUAACUUGUUCAGCUCCCUAUAGUCAAUGCACAUCCUGUGCGAUCCGUCCUUCUUCCAGAAGAAAAGGAUCGGUGCUCCCCAAGGUGAACUACUCAAACGAAUAAACUGCUUACCCAGUAGUUCCUGAAACUGAGAUGACAACUCCUGCAUCUCUGGCAGUGCCAGUCGAUACGGCGCCUUAGCGAUAGGGGCCGCACCUGGCACUAGGUCAACCCUGAACUCAACCUGCCUCUCCGGAGGCACUCCGGGUAACUCCUCUAGAAACACAUCAACAAAAUCCCUCACCACCAGAACCUCAGAAACUGAGAGCUGCUCUCUAACCCGCGUAUCUACAACAUCCACCAAAUAACCGACACACCUGUGCUGAAUAUACUCCCGAGCCCUGGCUGCCGAACAAAACCCUGAUCCCAACCUGGUGCCCUCACCAUAUACUACAAGUUCUCCCCCACUUGGGGUUCGAACCACCACCCACUGCCCCUCACAGUCGAUCAUGGUGCCAAAACGGCUAAGCCAAUCCAUCCCUAUAAUCACGCAUACAUCCCUCAUGGGAAUAGGAAUCAAAUCUAUCAGGAAGGGCACCCCGAAAAUCUCCAACUCGCAUCCCCGGAAGACCGAAGAAGCAGAGACCUCGUGCUCAUUGGCGAUCGAAACUCGCAACGGACACUCAAGAUCAUCUAUUGGCACACUGAACCCUCUAGAGAAGGUCUGAGAUACAAACGAUCGACUCGCCCCCGAGUCAAAUAAUACCAAAGCGGGCAAAGAAUUCACUAAAAAUGUACCUAAUCACAGGUACAAUCAAUAAGCACAACACGAAUGCAAUAAUUGAGACAAAGAAUAGAAAACGUACCAGCAACCACAUCCGGUGCUGUCUUGGUUUCCUCGGCUGUGAGCUGGAAGGUACGAACCUGAGCCUUCGGAGGCUCCACCUUGACUGGCCUCCCAUCUCCAAUCCUCCCAACAGUUGGCGCGGAACCCUGCGCCGGCUUGGAGGCGAGCUGCGGACAGUUGGUCUUCACAUGACCAACCUGAUGACAAUGGAAACAAAUCCUCAUAUCUGCUGGAGGGGCGGACUGACGGCAGUCCCUAACAUAGUGCCCCUCCUUGCCACAUUUGUGGCACCCACCACCUGCUCUACAAACUCCCGAAUGAACCCUGCCACACUUUCCNCCUUGCCACACUUUCCACAAGUGCGGCUCUGAUGACCCCCGGAACGUGUAUUAGCGGUUUUAGACUGCUUAGGCGCCGGCUGAGACUGUGUCGGUGCCUGACGCUACUCCUUCAGCUGCAGCUCUAUCUCCAACUCACGCCACCGCACAGCUUCCUGAAGGUCCAUGAGGGUAUCACAUCGCUGAGUAGACACAAACUGUCGAAUAUCAGUCUUGAGCAUACUCAGAUAACAAGUCAUCUGAGACUACUCUGAAGCAAACUCCAAGAAAAACAUAGCCCUCUCCGUGAACAUACGGGUAAUCUCCAUCACAGACUCCCCAUCCUGUCUCAUUGUCAAAAACUCCUGCACAAGCCACUCCUGCUCAAUGCGUGGAAUGUAGCGGGUGCGGAACAUAUCUCUGAACUGCUCCCAAGUAACAGCAGCCCGCUGAUCAUCAGUAUACGACCCAGUCGUCAGCCUCCACCAUUCCUUUGCCCCAAGCCUCAGCAGGUUUAGGGCACGCCUGACCUUGUGGUCAGUAGGACAUGAGCACGUGAAGAAAUAGCCCUCCACAUCAGAUAACCACCUCAUAGCCCUAAUCGCAUCCUGUGUACCAUCAAACGUCAGGGGCUUCGUAUUAUCGAAGUCCCGAUACUGGAAAGCCAUGUNNNNNNNNNNNNNNNNNNNNNNNNNNNNNNNNNNNNNNNNNNNNNNNNNNNNNNNNNNNNNNNNNNNNNNNNNNNNNNNNNNNNNNNNNNNNNNNNNNNNNNNNNUAGCUAUGUAUCGCUCGUCAAAAUACUAAACCAUCAUGGUCUUAAUCGACCCAAACAUCUCUGGCAGCUGUGCUCGGAACGCAGAAGCAAUCUCGUUGUGCAUAAUCUCCCUGAUCCUGGCAUCCAACUCCUCGGUUCCUAUCUGAACCACGGGCUCAGGUGCAACCGGCACCUCCAACCCUCCGUCUCCCAACCCCGAUCCUGAUCCUGAUCCGGAUCUUGAUCCCGAAGCAACACGUCUCGUCACCACCAUACUGGAAUAUAUAUAUAUAUAUAUAUAUAUAUACAUGUCAUCAGAUAAAUAACAUAAUGUCGGGAGACCAAAACCCUAGGAGUUGUGAUUUCCUUGCUACGCGUGUGGGUCCUGUGCUUUCAGUAGGACGGGCCAAUACUACCUUCCACACCUACCCAUAUUUGUCUCAAGUAUCAUCACAAUGCCCUAACAAUAUCAUCAACAUAGGAUUGCGCCCAACCCUCACUUCUAGGGGGAUACCAAAUAUCUCGCAUUUAGCCUCACCACUUAUCACAACUCUCACAUCCAUGAAACUUCAAUCAUCUCCUGCAGCGCUAAUGUAUGCUAGCUGCACAUAACGUUGGACCCAAUAGACUUUCGAAUAUCUGAUCCUACCCGAGGGCUGAAUCAACCUUCUCAGGCUAUAAGGUCUUUAUUAUGCACAACCGUGAUGCAUACACUAAACAUCUAUAGUUAUGAUGUCAAUUCCACAUACAAGAAACCCUAGGCUAAUAGGCAUCAUAUAAUCAGGCAAGGCUAUCAUGUGAUUCCUGAAGAUCCCUAGCCUAGCACUAGCGUGUUGUUCUAACAUAUCAGAAUAUCAAAUAACCGUAUGGUAUUUUGGGGUUCACUUACAAGCUCUGGCUGAUCGUACCCUCUGCAUCCUCCAUCCUUAUUUUGAAAAUCAUAUUAAAACUUAUGUUCCGAAAAUCCCCUUCAUUUGAGACUGGAUUCACACGGGUGUUCCUCCAAUUCACUCAAACCAAGGCUCUGAUACCAACUUGUAACAUCCAUAAAUUUUACGCCAAAUUCAAACUUUUUCAGUCAUAAAUAAAAACCGUAAAGCAUCGUUUACAAAAUGUUUUCAAAUCAUUUUCCAUCAGAGUGUCCAAAAAUCAUAACAUAAGGAUGAGGAGCGGUACGGUUACGCCUUCGCCUUUCCAUGGACUCCUGAAGUACCUGAAACAAUAAACUAAAAACUGUAAGCCCGAGGGCUUAGUGAGGUACCCUCAAAAUACCAAUACCACACUGACAAUACCNAAUCAAUCAACAUCAUGCAUACUGGGCCAUCUGCAGGACUGGACCUCCCUACCGGGCCCACAGUCUGUCCAAAUCUAUCCCGAGCCUUCGGCAUGACUGGUCCGCCACGUGGGCCUACAGUCUCCCCGGACCGCUCACAGGGUAUGUUGGCCUUCCACACAAAGCAGGACCGCCUCAACCCAACCAACAAGCAAAUAACCAUGUGUGCAUAGCUAUCAUAUACGGGCAUAUAAAAACAUCAAGCAUAUCUAUCUCACUGGUCAUAAUCAUAAAAUUCUCCUGUAACUAGAGUACCGACCUAUCAAGUCACUAACACACCAAUCGCUACGGAUCAUAAAAGCAUAACAUACUGUCUACCUCAAUUCCGAACUAACAAAUCAUAACCACAUGCAACAUACCAUAACAAUAACAACUAAAUGGCCGGCGUUGGUGUCGUAGACCCUAUCGAUAUAGUGAGGAUAAGUCACCUCGCAGAUGUCAACAUGAAAGGUAUACUCCAACUCUCGGAUCACUUGAC
rnacentral:lncRNA from 1 species